rnacentral:lncRNA from 1 species
GAUCCAACCUGUGUUCCAGUGCUCCCAAGAUGCUGCUGAUCCCAUUGCCCCAAAGUGGAAACUCCUGGAAUUCUUUGUCUAUAACUCAUUUAAUAAAUUUAAGAGCAUGCAUCAGUGAUCUUCAUCCUCAUAGAAAGUGAACAGCACCCAUUUUAUUUCCUUCACCCAGCCCCACACAGAAAUAGGAUGCCCUUUAAGAUUUUAUCUCCAGCUUUUCUUCAAUUUUAAAGAUAUUUUCCUGGGCCUAGGCUUUUUAAUUUUUCUGAAGCAAAAAUGAAUAAAUACUGUGUCUAUGGUGGAUAAAAAAAGAUAAGUAAUCUUACUAGUUUGCCAAAUAUACACUUCCAAAAAAAAAAAAGGAGGCAUUUACUGUCUUAAGUCAGGCUAAAAAUAAUAUUAUUUUAGGGUGUAUAGGUAAUUGAAGAAAUCAAGUUUUCCCUUCACUUACUAUCUGGAUAAUUGCCUAAUUUUCCCACUGUCAUCAUCCUGUCCUGCUAGUGUUGCUUUAUACACAACCUGGUCUUCCCUUUUGUUGUAUUUAUUUUUUCUUUAAGACACCCUUCAAAUAUUAAAGAAAAAGAGAGAGGCUAUACAAUUUGCAUCAUGACUUAAAACUAUUAGAAGAUAGGAAUUCAGUAGUUGAGACAAUGCGUUUCAAAACUCCAAAAGAUAACAGGUUUAAAGAAAUUGGCAUAUGUUAGUGAUUAUGCAAUCAUUCAUUUCCCACAGAUUUCUUUUUAUAGGAAACUUUGGAAAAUCCCAGAAGAACUGACCGAGUCAUUUCAACCACAACAGGUUUCUUUCAACAUCAAAAUCAUGGGUAGGAGUGGGCGAGGAAUAAUUUUCUUUCUUUUUUUUUUAAAGGCAUGGACAGCCUGGUUCUGAGUGUGCAAAGCUGUGGCUUCCCCUCCUAUAGACGCCUUCUGAACAGCAAAUCUGACUUCCUCCUCAGACCAAGGCAUCCUGAAAACAUCCAAGCAGAGGAAGCAUUUUUUCACCAUGACAUGGGAAAGGGCCACAGAGAUCCAAAUGGAAACGGACAUUUCAUACCAAUGCAUUGGAUGAUAACUGGUACAUCGUCAAGGGACAGAAGUGUCAACAGAAACCAUGGAUAUUUUUUGUAGACUAUGGCAUCACAAGAUGAAAAAAAUAUGGAUCCCUGUGUCACUAACUGGAAGAGAGAAAUCAAGAGAGCUAUGAACAAUACAUACAUAUUUUAUUAAGCUCCUGAGAUUUGGGGAUUGUUUGCUACAACAUUCAUACUUACACAUUUUCCCAUAUCCUAUUCUUUAUCAAACCAUCAAAAUGAACCUAUUAAAACCAAGGUAAAAUUAUAUCACUCUUUCGUUCACUUACUUUAUUCAAUCACAUAGGCCUUCAAGCUAUUCCUGGAGUGUACCAACUACUACUUCACUUCAGGCCUUUUACAUGCUCUUUCCUAUCCCUGGAGGAAUCUAUCCCUAGUUCUUUGUAGGCCUGCUCCCUUAUCUCCUUGAUCAUUCUUUUAGUGAGGCUUUCCUAGACCUACUUACUUAAAAUGGACUCUUUCACUCUAAUAUAUUGCCCUUCCCAUUUGAAUUUUCUUGAGAAUGUGUAUCUCACACAUUCAGUAUUUUAUUUGUUUUAUGUUUUAUCUCUUUGAAUCCCAGUACCAAGAAAUAUGUCUAGACCAUUGUAGGAAUUCAGUAAGUAUUUGUUAAAUUAUGAAUGGAUUAAGAAUAUGUGGCAUAUAUACACAAUGGAAUACUACUCAGCCAUAAAAUGAACAAGAACAAAAUAAUGCCAUUUGCAGCAACAUGGAUGGAACUAGAGACUCUCAUACUAAGUGAAAUAAGUCAGAAAGAGAAAGAUGAAUACCAUAUGAUAUCACUUAUAUCUGGAAUCUAAUAUAAGACACAAAUGAACCUUUCCACAGAAAAGAAAAUCAUGGACUUGGAGAAAAGACUUGUGGUUACCAAGGGGGAGGGGGAGGGAGUGGGAUGGACUGGGAAUUUGGUGUUAAUAGAUGCAAACUAUUGCCUUUGGAAUGGAUAAGCAAUGAGAUCCUGCUGUGUAUCACUGGGAACUAUAUCUAGUCACUUAUGAUGUAGCAUGAUAAUGUGAGAAAAAAGAAUGUAUACAUGUAUGUGUAACUGGGUCACCAUGCUGUACAGCCGAAAAUUGAUAGAACACUGUAAACCAGCUAUAGUGGAAAAAUAAAAAUCAUUUUAAAAAUAAAAAGAAAAGAAAA